CGUGUAGGCGGUCGGUCAAGUCCGGUGUGAAAGCCCGGGGCUCAGCUCCGGAAGUGCAUCGGAAACUAGCCGACUGGAGCGCGAUAGAGGAGGGUGGAAUUCCUGGUGUAGCGGUGAAAUGCGUAGAUAUCAGGAGGAACACCGGCGGCGAAGGCGGCCCUCUGGAUCGUUGCUGACGCUGAGACGCGAAAGCGUGGGGAGCAAACAGGAUUAGAUACCCUGGUAGUCCACGCUGUAAACUAUGAGUACUAGGUGUUCGGGGUGUUGACCCCCUGAGUGCCGACGCUAACGCAUUAAGUACCCCGCCUGGGGACUACGGCCGCAAGGCUAAA
rnacentral:rRNA from 1 species